UCAGUCAGAUGUCCUGAAAUGACUCCUUUAUAAAAAGGCGUUGUUAAUCCUACCAGGCUUUUUCUGCUUGUAGGCUCUUUUCUUAGGGGUCAUUUGGAGUGACUGCUGCUCCAGUCAGGCUAACCUUGUUCAAGCUCACCCGUUUCCUUUCGGCGUCCUUACAUGCCUACUCAUUGUUGCCUGUUGAGUUCAGCUUUGCUCUUGCUGCUGGCUUGCAGCCUCUCGCAGGGUCUGAGAGGAGAGCUCAUCCAAGUCUUGCAGAACAGCAUGUGAGCGAUAGCAGCUGGGCGAGAUCGGGAGAUAAGCUUUGCUGACCAUUAGGAAAACAAUGGACUGUACGCUCAGUGCUGUUAAAUACACAAAAUAAACAAGGAGGGAAAAAAAUAGGUUGCUUGUAACAAUCAUGGUCACAAAAUGUUCAGGAGGAAAUGAGAUUCUGGAAAAGAUUUUUUUUUUUAAGGAAUGCAACUGUUUCCAUUGAUUUCUAGGGCUUCUUCGUGCUUUCAUACUACUGGUUUCUUGUCUCCGGCCAGUUAGAUCUUGCAGCCUGAUCCUGAAUCCUGCCUUGUAGAAAGGCUUUUGAAUUACAUCUAAUAGGCUGAAGCAAAAGCAACAUGGGUUGUUAGUCCGAUCAAAUUAGGAGGUGUGCUCUGUUGUGCAGAGUGUAAAAGAUUUUGCCAUGUAAAGCAGUUCACAGGGAAUUAGGGGAAAUAGGCAUUUUUAUGGGAAACACCCAGGACUUGUGUUUUAAAGACACAGCAGUUCUGAGGACAAUCACCACCUUCAGUUGCAGGCUGCAAACUAAAGACCCCCAGUUCAUAGGGAGCUGGCUGUCCUGGGGAGACCCGUACCCAUGCAGUUAUUUUCAGCCAGGGUAAAAGCAGCUGUGACAGCAAGAGCUGGAUGAGCAUUUCAUUGCAGCUAAGGAUGGUAAUUUUGGUCUGCAGGGAGCCCUUGAGGCGAGGACAGCAUCCCAGGCAGGCUCCACCAGGCUCAUUGCUGCUUCCUUUGCUUCUUUGGUGAGACAGACGUCUACUCCCAACGGCCUUUUCUCCUUCUGUUGGCACCUUGCACUGUAUGCAAUGCUUUCUUUCAAAAAACUAUUUCAAGAAGAACCAGUGAAUCCUAUUCCUGCAUUUGUGAGAAGGCACAAUAAACCUCAUCACCCUGGUGCAACAUCCCCCAGCUGUCUCAAGGAGGAAGAGGAGAAAAAUCUCCUUUGUUGUCUGCUGUGCUUGGCUCCCUGUACAACUUGUAGGUCACUGUGACGGCUUGGAAACCCAGCCUGGGUCUUCUCCCCUGCCCAUGCCUCUCCCAUAUUCUACCAAUCCUGUCUCAAGUUAAGGCUUCCUAGCCCUACAAGAUUUUCUUGAAUGGACUGAAGGCCUCAGGGAUCGGGCUGGCUUUAACUCUCUUUAUUUUGAAAGACUCCUCAACAGCCAGUUUGGAAGUUGAUGGGGGAGGCAGGGAAAUGGUGAGCACGGGACAUUCAUGGGCCCUUCCACCAAUACUGUAGGUACAGAGAGAGCCCCAGUAAACUCUGGGGAAUGGGGUCAUUUUAAUUUCCUGCUGUACGAAUGGCCCAUCUGCUCCCUGGUAUCCCCUUUACAGAAACAGACAGACCUGCUGACAGCACGGGAAAAUACAAAUAGAAAGCAAAUGGAUGUGGGUCUUGGGCUGCUUGGCUGAAUCUAACGUGAGGCAGAUGAUACACAUAGAAGAGCCCAAUAAUUUUCUAGAUUUGAACCCUUUCAAACUCCUGAGGAAACUGGCAUAGUCUGGAAGACUUUUCAAAAGCUCAUUAGACUGAUAGAGCUUCUCUGGCUCUGGACACCUGGUUUUCCGGGGUUAUUUAUGAAGAAGGUGUGGUCAGACAAAUGCUGGAGCAAGGGAAACUGUCCAGCUGAACAAGAUGUUCUCCUGGCACGGUGGGAAACCUGAUGCCUCUUUCAAGAGCCAGCAGAUAAGACCAACCUUCAACCUCUGCAGAACAUCAGUGGGGAGGACUUCCACAGAAGAGAUGCAUUUGCCUGCUUAGUGAGUCACGGAUGUUUUCCAUGUGUUGCAAUGUUGCCAUGAACCUGUAGUCGGUGUCUCUGCUUGUUCGACUGUGCUGCAAAAUCGGGAAACGGCAGUUGUCCGUAGCUCCUGUUACAUUAAACUGUUCGGACCACUUGGCUCUAUCGGUUUUGGCAAACUUACCUGGAGUCUUGCAAGGCCUAGGUGCACCCACGCACAUCCAGCUCAGCAAACCAUCAGCUCUGAAGCAAUUGUUGGUGAUGACAUAUUUUGUGACAGGAAAUCAUUGCAAAAUGCCGAGUUCUCAGGAUUAAAAACUUCUGUCCUGCUCAGAAAAAUAAAUGUAACUGGUAUGUUCUAAA